rnacentral:rRNA from 1 species
UACGGGGGGAGCAAGCGUUGUUCGGAUUUACUGGGCGUAAAGGGCGCGUAGGCGGCCACCGCAAGUCGACUGUGAAAUCUCCGGGCUUAACCCGGAAAGGUCAGCCGAUACUGCGGGGCUAGAGUGCAGAAGGGGCAACUGGAAUUCUCGGUGUAGCGGUGAAAUGCGUAGAUAUCGAGAGGAACACCUGCGGCGAAGGCGUGUUGCUGGGCUGACACUGACGCUGAGGCGCGAAAGCUAGGGGAGCGAACGGG